UAGCAAAAUACAGGAUGUCAAAGAUUCAAAUAAACUCAAACAAUAAAGGGGAAGCAAUCGAAUAUAAAGAUUCAGGAAGCUUCAAAUACAAUGGCACUCCGACCCAUCAUUAUUUCCAGAAUCUUGAUCCCAUCUUUGCGUUAGAUGUUACUUGUCAUAUAUGUCUGAUUCUUUCAAAAAAUUUCAAACCUUCUGCAAGUCGCUGCAAACUGGGUAAGGUUAAAAAUUUGAUGAAAGUGUGGGAGGUGUUGAAGCAACGUGUGGUGGUUGCAACUUGCAACACAAGGUUGGGAAACAUAAGUUGUCAUAAUUGAAUUGGGUUUUCUUAAUAAUCUUGAGUUCUUGUGGUUGUUAAAGCAACUGAGGAAGAAUUUGGAUCUCCCAUAGAGGAGCUUUUGCAAUUCCUUGUCAACAGGAUGAGCUGUGAAGUGCCCUUGGAUUGAAAACCUGCUGAUCGUUUCUUGAUACCUUUGCUUUUCUUUUCAGGUUAUUCCAUGUUUCUCCUCCUCCUACUAUGGUUGGUGAACUGGUGGUUUUCGUAGUUUCGCAGUUUGGCUACCUAUUUUUGAUGAUCAUGAAUGUCCUAAACUUAUCAUACUAGUAGAAGGGAGUUUUGUGAAGAUCUGCUGGAAUUUAUAAGCAUAUAAAUUUCUGCAUUUUCAUUGACAUGAAGAAACAACAGGAACAACUGAUUUUAUUUUUGAUUCAGUGAUAAUGGAAUCAUGAAGAUUAACAAGUAUCAAGCUUUAGUAACUCAAAAUCAUUGAAUCAAAGCUUAUUAGUUAUAACAUGUUGCCCAUAUGAUGCAUAAUUAGUUUUUUAUUAAAAUAUAAUUGUUAUUGUUGUUAUUCACGACUUUGAGCUGUGUUUCUGGGUGGAAACUGGAUGAAUGGAAUUGGGUUUGGAGUGGAGCAAAGACAAGUGACCUUAUCCAAUCAAAGAGUGGUAGGCAGGGAAAGGAACAGGGUUCUUUCAAGUUGAGUGGGUGAAAUUAAAUGAGUAGGCCCCACCUUUCAUUCUAUGAUUUGUUCAUCAUGUGAUCCCACAGUGAUCUGAAUGCAUAUUCAUCGCAUUUCUUCAUCAAACCUAUUAAUCCACAUUCUGUGUUAUUUCACAAUCGUUAAUACACGAUGUUCUCUUCAACAUCUAUCGCUCAACCAAAGCCACGUUGUUCUUUCAUACUCUCAUUACAAGUAUUUUAGUAGCAAUUACUAUUCAAUUGGGUACCUUAAAUCAAAUUUAUUGAUUGGAUUGAAGCUCCUUAGAAUCAGACGAAACACAGAUAUACUAUACAUCUCUUGAAGUUUUUCUACACAGGUCCAAAUCCUGUCUUUCCUAUUGUUUUUUGGUUGUAGAUUUAGAGAAAAAGAGAGGAGGCAUUUGUUAGUAUAGGAAGGCCCACCAAGUGAAGCUCUUUCUUCGGUCGUGCCGUGAAGAGAAGUGAAAUUGUAUCGUUGUGAAUCACUGUUAGUCUAUAGUUGUAGGAUUUGUUCGAUAACAAUUUUAAAAAUUAAUAAAAAUAUUAAUAUUUAAAAAAUAUUAUUCAAAAUGACCAAUAAAAUAAAGACAUAAAUUCAAAUUUGAAAAUCCAUCCAAAACUGCCAUUUGAAUACAACUUGAUUAAUUUAAAUAAAAAUAACUUUCUGAAAAUUUAAUAUUUUAACUCUACAAAUUGAAUCUAAAUCGUCUCACCAUAAUCUAACAGCCUGAUUUAAAUCCGAUCAAAAAGAAUAUCUAUCCAAAAUGAUUCAAACAUGAAAUAUUGUGAAUCCAACGAAAUUUAAGAGGUUGGAGGACUUGAACUUGGCACUACUAGGUAAGUCAUAAUAUGGCAAA
rnacentral:lncRNA from 1 species